GGGGGAGCGGAUGGAAAAGCAAGGGAAAUUCUCCUCGUCACAGAGGUAAGUAAAGAAUAGAUCAUUUUCGUCAUCAUUCUUUGGCAGCAGCUACUUCCUCCUUGGAGAAAUAAUCGUGCUGUAUUUUUCUUGUCAACUGGUAGAUGCCAGUCCCUGCCAUUGCAAUGUUGACACUAAAAAGGUUCCAGUUCUUCGGUGUGAUCACAGUGCUGUAACGUGACCAAAUAACUCCAGUGGCUGUAACAGCUAUUUGCUGAGGAUAAG
rnacentral:misc_RNA from 1 species